rnacentral:rRNA from 1 species
GAUGAACGCUAGCGACAGGCUUAACACAUGCAAGUCGAGGGGCAGCGGGGAGCAAGCUUGCUUGCUCUGCCGGCGACCGGCGCACGGGUGAGUAACACGUAUGCAACCUGCCCUCCGCAGGGGGAUAACCCGGAGAAAUCCGGACUAAUACCGCGUGGUACACUUGUGGGGCAUCCCACUGGUGUUAAAAGGAAGUGAUUCCGGCGGAGGAUGGGCAUGCGGCGCAUUAGCUUGUUGGCGGGGUAACGGCCCACCAAGGCGACGAUGCGUAGGGGUUCUGAGAGGAAGGUCCCCCACAUUGGAACUGAGACACGGUCCAAACUCCUACGGGAGGCAGCAGUGAGGAAUAUUGGUCAAUGGGCGCAGGCCUGAACCAGCCAAGUAGCGUGAAGGACGACUGCCCUAUGGGUUGUAAACUUCUUUUAUAUGGGAAUAAAGUUUUCCACGUGUGGGAUUUUGUAUGUACCAUAUGAAUAAGGAUCGGCUAACUCCGUGCCAGCAGCCGCGGUAAUACGGAGGAUCCGAGCGUUAUCCGGAUUUAUUGGGUUUAAAGGGUGCGCAGGCGGCGCGGCAAGCCGGCGGUCAAAUCGCGGGGCUCAACCCCGCCCAGCCGUCGGAACUGCCGGGCUAGAGUGGGCGAGAAGUGCGCGGAAUGCGUGGUGUAGCGGUGAAAUGCAUAGAUAUCACGCAGAACUCCGAUUGCGAAGGCAGCGCACCGGCGCCCUACUGACGCUCAGGCACGAAAGCGUGGGUAUCGAACAGGAUUAGAUACCCUGGUAGUCCACGCAGUAAACGAUGGACGCUAGGUGUCCGGAAGGAACGACUUCUGGGUGCCACAGCGAAAGCGUUAAGCGUCCCACCUGGGGAGUACGCCGGCAACGGUGAAACUCAAAGGAAUUGACGGGGGCCCGCACAAGCGGAGGAACAUGUGGUUUAAUUCGAUGAUACGCGAGGAACCUUACCCGGGCUCAAACGGCGGAGGAAUGUUUUUGAAAGGAGGCAGCCCUACGGGGCCUCCGCCGAGGUGCUGCAUGGUUGUCGUCAGCUCGUGCCGUGAGGUGUCGGCUUAAGUGCCAUAACGAGCGCAACCCCCACCGCCAGUUGCCAGCAGGUGAAGCUGGGGACUCUGGCGGGACUGCCGGCGCAAGCUGCGAGGAAGGCGGGGAUGACGUCAAAUCAGCACGGCCCUUACGUCCGGGGCGACACACGUGUUACAAUGGGGGGUACAGCGGGAAGCCACCUGGCGACAGGGAGCGGAACCCGAAAGCCCCUCUCAGUCCGGAUCGGAGUCUGCAACCCGACUCCGUGAAGCUGGAUUCGCUAGUAAUCGCGCAUCAGCCACGGCGCGGUGAAUACGUUCCCGGGCCUUGUACACACCGCCCGUCAAGCCAUGGGAGCCGGGGGUGCCUGAAGUGCGUGACCGCAAGGAGCGCCCUAAGGCAAAACCGGUGACUGGGGCU